rnacentral:rRNA from 1 species
GACGGUAGGGGGGCGAGCGUUGUCCGGAUUUAUUGGGCGUAAAGAGCGUGUAGGCGGCCAGGUAGGUCCGGUGUGAAAACUCGAGGCUUAACCUCGAGAUGUCAUCGGAAACCAUCUGGCUAGAGUCCGGAAGAGGAAAGUGGAAUUCCUGGUGUAGCGGUGAAAUGCGCAGAUAUCGGGAGGAACACCAAUGGCGAAGGCAGCUCGCUGGGACGUUACUGACGCUGAGACGCGAAAGCGUGGGGAGCAAACAGG